AGGAAACUCACUAGAGUGAGGAAUGGCUCCCCAGAGGAAAGGGCCAGAAGGUUUUCACCAGCGCGGUGAGUGGCGAGGAUUUCAGGAAGAUUGGAAUUGAGGAGGAAGCCAUUUGCCUGCCUACAACCUCCUGUAUCCCCUUGUUGGUGACAGAACAAAAGAUAAAGCAGUCAGCAUUACCUGAAGUGACUUGGAGGUGAUUAAUACUCAGAGCUCCUGGAGCAGAAAGAGCUCUGUAAUCACACAGUCGUGUGCAUCCAUCCCCAGCUGUCAACAGGAUCUUCUGAGUAAAACACAGCUAAAUAAAUCUCUGCAAUGAGGAAGGACCGCAAUCAAAGCUACCUUCCAUUAGAGCUACCUGCCAAAUUUUGGAUGGCAGCACCCCAAGAUGAAAGGAGCUUGGAUCCCCAAGUCAUUAUUUGGAGGAGAGCCUCUGCAAAGAACUGCCUGCUGUGCACUGGACUGUGAGAUUUUUAGAAGAGGCCAUUUUAUAAGGAAGACACUUUCAUUGAAUGUGUUUUCCAAGAGAACUGUUGCUAACAGUAUGUUACUUAUGUGUCCUUCGUAAUUCCCAUGUGCUUGUCCCAUGAAUAGAUCUCACUCUGUUCCCAAGAGCAACAAACCAUUCACAACAAGACCUGAUGAAAACAAGUUAUUUUCAAAUUGAUUUUCCUUUCUGUAAAAAGCUCUUAUCAUCCAAUUUACUAAAAAAUUUCUUCUAAUUAAAGGCUCAUUAUUU
rnacentral:lncRNA from 10 species